rfam:Schistosoma margrebowiei strain Zambia genome assembly, scaffold: SMRZ_contig0000662
AUCCAGCUGACGAGUCCCAAGUAGGACGGAACCCGCAUCCUGGAU